UGGUGGAGUGAUUUGUCUGGUUAAUUCCGUUAACGAACGAGACCCCUGCCUGCUAGAUAGCUUGCAUAGCGAAUUUUCACUGUGUGAAGCUUCUUAGAGGGACGUGCAUUCUAUUAGAUGCAGGAAGAUAGGGGCAAUAACA
rnacentral:rRNA from 1 species